AUUGAACGCUGGCGGCAGGCUUAACACAUGCAAGUCGAGCGGGGUGAUGGUGCUUGCACUAUCACUUAGCGGCGGACGGGUGAGUAAUGCUUAGGAAUCUGCCUCUUCGUGGGGGACAACAUCUCGAAAGGGAUGCUAAUACCGCAUCCGUCCUACGGGAGAAAUCAGGGGAUCACUUGUGACCUUGCGCUAAUAGAUUAGCCUAUGUCGGAUUAGCUAGUUGGUGGGGUAAAGGCCUACCAAGGCGACGAUCUGUAGCGGGUCUGAGAGGAUGAUCCGCCACACUGGGACGGAGACACGGCCCAGACUCCUACGGGAGGCAGCAGUGGGGAAUAUUGGACAAUGGGGGGAACCCUGAUCCAGCCAUGCCGCGUGUGUGAAGAAGGCCUUAUGGUUGUAAAGCACUUUAAGCGAGGAGGAGGCUCUUUUGGUUAAUACCCAAGAUGAGUGGACGUUACUCGCAGAAUAAGCACCGGCUAACUCUGUGCCAGCCGCCGCGGUAA
rnacentral:rRNA from 1 species